AGUCCGGCGCACGGGUGCGUAACGCGUAUGCAACCUACCUUCAUCAGGGGGAUAGCCCGAAGAAAUUCGGAUUAACACCGCAUAAAAUCACAGAACGGCAUCGUUCAAUGAUCAAAUAUUUAUAGGAUGGAGAUGGGCAUGCGUGUCAUUAGUUAGUUGGCGGGGUAACGGCCCACCAAGACCGCGAUGACUAGGGGAUCUGAGAGGAUGACCCCCCACACUGGUACUGAGACACGGACCAGACUCCUACGGGAGGCAGCAGUAAGGAAUAUUGGUCAAUGGAGGCAACUCUGAACCAGCCAUGCCGCGUGCAGGAAGACAGCCCUCUGGGUCGUAAACUGCUUUUAUUCGGGAAUAAGCCUACUUACGUGUAAGUAGCUGAAUGUACCGAAGGAAUAAGGAUCGGCUAACUCCGUGCCAGCAGCCGCGGUAAUACGGAGGAUCCAAGCGUUAUCCGGAAUCAUUGGGUUUAAAGGGUCCGUAGGCGGUCAGAUAAGUCAGUGGUGAAAGCCCAUCGCUCAACGGUGGA
rnacentral:rRNA from 1 species